ACAACCAUCUGAGUGACGUGGCGCAAAUGGACAUGAGAGAGAGUGAGAGAAUCUACAAAGGUUACGUAAAGAAGUGAGAGACAAACACAUUGUGGGUGUUUUGUCGAAAUCAAAGGUUUCAGAAGGAUCCAUCAAAUUCAGACAUUAAAUAAAACUACACAUAUUCCUCAUCAUGUGGACCUCUCAAUUUGAGUCCUGAAACAGCAACUAUUCCCUCGAAUCAAAUUCAAACCCUAUUCAUGAUCACUUUCUCUCUCAUUCCCUCUCCUCGUCAACAAGAUUACAAACCAAGACGCCUAUUCUCUCUCAUCCACUUAUUUCUUUUACCUAAGAUACUUCCUUAUCCAGCUCUUAAGAUCAUGCUAUCAAAGUUCAUUCGAAUCCGUAUGAGUGAUUAUGUAGUUAUAAUGAGCGUAUAUUUCAUUUAUAAGGAAUUUGAAAACGGUUUAUGUGUUACAAGAAAAUAGUGUAUGUAUUGUAACGAGUAACGUAUAUAUUACAUAAAAAUUACUACGGAGUUUACUCUAUUUUCUUCUGUCUGUUCAUUGUUCUAUUUUCUCUGUGUUCA